rnacentral:rRNA from 1 species
CCUACGGGGCGCAGCAGUGGGGAAUAUUGCACAAUGGGGGGAACCCUGAUGCAGCGACGCCGCGUGAGCGAAGAAGUAUCUCGGUAUGUAAAGCUCUAUCAGCAGGGAAGAAAAAUGACGGUACCUGACUAAGAAGCCCCGGCUAACUACGUGCCAGCAGCCGCGGUAAUACGUAGGGGGCAAGCGUUAUCCGGAUUUACUGGGUGUAAAGGGAGCGCAGGCGGCGCGGCAAGUCUGAUGUGAAAGCCCGGGGCUCAACCCCGGGACUGCAUUGGAAACUGUCGCGCUCGAGUGUCGGAGAGGUA